UCCCAAUCUCAAGGUAUAGAAUUCAAUUAAAGGUUGAAGAUAGCUCAGGAAUGGCCACAUUCAUUUUAUUUGAUUCAGAAGCAGAAAAAUUACUCAACAUAUCAGCCAAAGACCUUUUGAAUAAAUCUUUAGAGGUUUACAUCAGUGAUACUUCAAAUGAAUGUAGCAACAACUUAUCAAUUGAAGAAGAUGGUGAUUGUACAAAAUUUCAAAAACUUGAUGUUCAAACCAAUGUGCAACUCACAUCAACAUCUGUACUCAAGGAAAACAAAAGGGCAUAUUCAGGGACUACUACAAAGCAACAAAGGAAGAAGAUACAAAAAACACUUUAAAGUUGUCUUUCAAUCUCUAAGAUUUUCUAUGCACAAUUUGGUUU